rnacentral:lncRNA from 1 species
AUGAGGAGGCAGCGCGGCGGCGUGGAUGGAAGCCCGAGAGUCAGCCCCAAAAAUGUCUUGGGGGGGCACACAGGAAGUGUGGCGAAGCCAGGUAGGAGACCUGCGCCAACUUCCUGUGCUUACCGGGGGGCGAGAGAGACCGGGCAGGCACCGUGUUAUGCGGUGGAGCGCACGGUGUCCCCAGUGCGGGUGCAUAGCCCGGUGCGGUACAUACCAGCUCCGCGUAUCGGCCGGGCUAGAGUGAGCAUCGAGCCAAGUGCCAUGAAGCCGGCUCUACGCAUCUGGUCCCCAGUGCGUCUCCUUGGGCCGGCUUACAUGGCACCAGCCUUGCGCACGGUGUCCCCGGUUCGCCUGCAUAGCCCAGUGCAGGCUAUUCCACCUCGCCGCACUGGCAGGGCGACCGGGAGCAUUCAACCGGGUAAGGUUGGGCAGGCUCGGUGCUCAAGAGCUCCAGUGCGCCUGCACGGUCCGGUCUAUCCGGUACCACCUCCACGCACCAGCCCUCCGGUGGCAGCCCCCCGCACCAGGCUGUCUCUCCGUCUCAUCCGUACAGGUGCUCCCGCCUGUCCAGUGCUGCUGGAGCCUUCCUCCUCUCCAGCACUGCUGGAGUCUCCCGCCUGUCCAGCGCUGCUAGAGCCUUCCUACUCUCCAGCGCAGCCGGAGUCUCCCGCCCGUUCAGCGCUGCCGAAGUCUCCCGCCUGUCCAGCGCUGCCGAAUUCUCCCGCCUGUCCAGCGCUGCCGGAGCCUUCCUCCUCUCCAGCGCUGCCGGAGUCUCCCGCCUGUUCGGCGCUGCCAGAGCUCCCGCCCCUCAGUUCAGAGGCACUAGAGCCCCUCAUUCCAGAGGCGCCAGAGCUACUCAGUUCAGUGCUGCCAGAUCCUUCCUCUCCAGCGUUGCCGGAGCUUCCCGUCUGCCCAACGCCAUCAGAGUCGCCAGUCUGCCCAGCGCCGCCUGAGCCACCCGUCUGCCCAGCGCCGCCAGUGCCGCCAGUCUGCCCAGUGCCGCCAGUCUGCCCAGCGCCACCAGUCUGCAAAGAGCCACCAGUGCCACCAGUCAGCCAGGGGCCGCCAGUGCCGCCAGUCAGCCAGGGGCCGCCAGUCAGCCAGGGGCCGGCAGUGCUGCCAGUCCCGCUGCCAGAUCCUUCCUCUCCAGCGUUGCCGGAGCUUCCCGUCUGCCCAGCGCCAUCAGAGUCUCCAGUCUGCCCAGCGCCGCCUGAGCCACCCGUCUGCCCAGCGCCGCCAGUGCCUCCAGUCUGCCCAGCGCCGCCAGUCUGCAAAGAGCCGCCAGUGCCGCCAGUCAGCCAGGGGCCCCCAGUGCCGCCAGUCAGCUAG